UUAUUUGUCAAGCAUACUAGAACGUCAGAAACAAAAAGCGAACAAUAUCGAGCUGCUGCUUCUCAAGUAUCGCCAUGGUCUGGUGGGCCCCUGAUAGCUUUCUCCGUCCCUUCCACUCCUGGAGUACUAGGCUCCUGCAAGUCUGUCACAAGGCUGAAAAGAAGGCCAUCACAAAAAGGCAAGAAGAGGGGGAAAGAAGAGGGAAGGAAGGAAGGAAGGAAAGAAGAGGGUGAGUAAGUGAGCUCCUUCCCUCCCCCGGAGUUGGUUGGUCCGUGUUUCCUUCUUUCUACUACCCAAGUUGUGCUUCCUUGAAAAAGGCCCAUGAUAAUAAAACCAGCGGGCAGAGUGUUUGCAGUCUCAGUUCCCUUCAGUUAGGGUUUUGCGUCGGAAGUGAGUUGUGCUAGAGAGGGAUCGUGGAUCGUGAAACUUUGGAGUGGGUGUGAAUAUCGUUCUGCCUCUGCGGUUAUCUUAGGCAAAGAUAACCAAAAGUCAUGUCCUCCAAAUCAUCGUCUACUCAGUCGCUGAAUUCCAUUCCCGUUUCCUCGGAUGGUGACGCGGCUGAUCCUCUACGUCUGAAGGAACUGGAGGACAUCGAGAAGGCCAAACCCAAGCCUCCACGUCCUCCCCCACCCAGGAGCAACACCAUCACAUCGGAAAAGCCUUAUCGACCUCCGCCACCCAGGAGUAGCACCAUUAGUGGCUCCCAGCACCCUGAGGACGUGGAGGACGAGGAGAGGGAGAAGAAGAAGAAAAAGAAGCAUAAGCAUAAAGAGCACAAAGAGAAGAAGGAAAAAAAAGAAAAGAAAGAGAAAAGGGAAAAGAAGGAAAAAAGAGAUAGGCCAGAUAAAUCCGAAUCUGCCCAUGGGGCUUCUUCAGAACUCAAGCGACAAUCGGUCACCAGUGUCACUAGCAAUAAAUCUGAAUCGAAGACUGAGCCCGAGAAUCCCGACCAGGACUCCAAGGAGGAGGGCGAACAAGCAGAACCCUCUACGGGAUGGAAGAAACUGGUUAAUUCAUCCUUUGGUAUCUGGCAAGCUACCACCAAUAGCGUGUCCACCGCCAAGAACGCCACGGUGAACGCGGCUGUUUACGCCAAGGAUUCCACGGUGAACGCGGCCGUCAAGACCAAGGACGCGACGGUCAAUGCAGCAGUGUAUGCCAAAGAUUCGACCGUACAUGCAGCCGUCAAAACCAAGGAUGCCACUGUAAAUGCAGCUGUCUAUGCCAAAGACACAACGGUUAACGCAGCUUCUACUGCCAAGGAUGCCACGGUUACGGCUGCAUCCACCGCCAAAGAUGCCACUUACAGUGCUUCCUCUGUAGCCGCUACUGGAGUCACAAGCAGCUUUGCCAAUGUUGUACUUUUGGCUAAGAAGGCUGCCAAAGAAACACGCUACAAGAUGGGUCCCGCUGCCGAUACGAUCACCUUGAUUCACUUCAACGACGUCUACAACGUAGAAUCACGUGAGCAAGAACCUGUGGGUGGAGCCGCUCGCUUUUCCACCGCCAUCAAGGGCUUUGAGGAUCGGGCUCCCAUUGUGUUGUUCUCCGGCGACAUCUUUGCACCUUCAAUAAUGAGUACGAUGACCAAAGGCGAGCAAAUGAUCCCGGUUCUGGAAAAGGUUGGAACACAUUGCGCUUGUUAUGGAAACCAUGACUUUGAUUUUGGCAUCGACACUCUCAUGGAACAUACCGAGAAAAACAGCUUCCCUUGGCUCAUGUCCAACGUGGUUGACAACGAAACUGGCCGACCCUUGGCCGAGGGAGUGAUUACUCAUAUCAUGGAUUGGUGCGGCAGAAAAAUUGGAUUGAUGGGAUUGGUGGAAAGGGAAUGGUUGGACACUUUGGCCACUAUUAACCCUGAGGAAGUCACUUACACAGACUAUGCGGAGGUGGGCAAAAUGCUAUGUAAGGAGUUGAGAGAAAAAGGUUGCGAGUACAUAAUCGCUCUCACUCACAUGAGGACUCCCAAUGAUGUUCGAUUGGCUGAAGAGGUUGACGACAUUGACCUGAUCCUCGGCGGACAUGACCAUGUUUAUGAAAAGAAAAUGAUUAACGGGAAGUACAUUUUGAAAAGUGGAACCGACUUUCGACAGUUCUCGAUAGUCACCGUCAAUUUCACCGAGGAGAAGCCGUCGGUUGAGAUUGAGGCUGUGGAGGUCACUUCGGAGUUUGAACCAGACCCAGAGCUGGCUGCUACUUUGGAGAAAUAUGAAGAGAAAAUGGAGGCCGAAAUGUGCAAAGAGCUGGGCGAGUUCCAAUGUGAUUUGGACGGCCGUUUCUCGGCCAUUCGCACCCAGGAGACCAACUUGGGCAACUUCAUCUGUGAUAUUAUGGUAGCGGCUACCAACGCAGAUUUUGCCCUUCUCAACUCCGGGACAUUCAGAUCUGAUCAGGUCCAUCCAGCGGGACCUUUCUUCCUCAAGGAUCUACUUACCAUCUUACCCAUGAUUGAUCCACUUGUCCUGGUUGAAGUUACAGGAGAGCAAGUCCUACAAUGCCUUGAGAAUGGAGUGUCUCAAUAUCCAAAACUGGAGGGGCGUUUCCCUCAAGUGAGCGGGAUUUCCUUCGUUUUUGAUCCCAAGAAACCCAAUGGUUCAAGAGUUGACGCGCAGUACGUCAAAAUUGGUGACGAAUACUUGAAGAAGGACACCAAGUAUCACAUGGCCACAAAAGCCUAUCUUGCUAUUGGCAAAGAUGGCUACGACUGUUUGGCAGAGGCAAAUCAAAUCAUCGACGAGGAAAAUGGACCCACUCUCACUGUGGCAGUACAAAAUCAUUUCAAGGCCCUGGCCAUGAGAGAAGGCAGGACCAGGCGGCCUUCAGUUCACCAUCAAUCACUCAUUACUUUAUCACGAAGAACGAGCAUUGUUCGACAAUUGACUGAAGAUGGAACUCACCACAUUCCGGCUCAUCUGCCGGAGAAAUUCCAAUCCUUGGAUCUUUCCACUCUCAGACCCAAACUCAAGAAGCAAGCCACCAUUGCCGAUUUGGAGGCCAUUAAUCUCAGUCCUAGAGCUCAUGGCAGGAUCGUUCAAGCCUCUCCCGAGGCUUGAUUGUAUUUACUUAAACGUUACUUCGAAGUUCCUUGUUUACAUUUUUCCCUCCAAGUUUUUGAUUGGUUGCACAUCUCUCUUUUACGAAAACAGAACAUUGCCAAGUUGAAGCGCCGCAAAGAUCGACAUCUCAAGGGUGAAAUCAUCAUGGAAGAAGAGGAAACAGAGGGCUUUGAUCAAGGCGUGGUACCUCCUCCUGAUGAGGAUCUUUGUUAGUUGGCCUUUAAAACAUGCCUCAUCACUCAUUUGACCUUGCAAAUAUUACAGUAUACUAUGAAAACCCUUAGCGCAACAGACUGUACCAUAUAGUGACCAUUUCUCAAUUUCUAUGCGUAGAACCCAAAGAAAGUAAGCAUUUAACUUGUCCAUUUCAAGGUUGAUGAAACUAGAUGGAUCUUAUGUUGGCAUGUCAAAUCUAAAUAUCAAGAAAACUGUUGAUUGUUACACAACUUUGAUUAGACUCCUCUCAUGCCUCAACCCUUUAGUUCUCGCCAUUGAAUAAUUGUGACACUAAAUGAGCUGUUAAAGUAGACACCUUAAUUUUUACCAAGUCAAGCCCCCCUCCCUUUCCCCCUUGUUUCAACUCUUCAUAUUGUUAAAGGUACCGGGUCACUGAAAUAAGAAUUCUGAAAAUGUAACUUAAAGCUUUUUUCAAUUUGUUAAUUGUUAUUGAAAAAUAAAAUGCUAAGGAAAUAAUGAAAUGGUCAAAAGGAGUAAAGAUGUUGGAAAUAGAACUUGA